rnacentral:rRNA from 1 species
GUGCCAGCCGCCGCGGUAAUACGUAGGUGGCUAGCGUUAUCCGGAUUUACUGGGCGUAAAGAGGGUGCAGGCGGCUCUUCAAGUCGGUUAUAAAAUCUCUUGGCUUAACUAAGAGGGACUGACCGAUACUGUUGGGCUGGAGAGUAGCAGAGGGAGAUGGAAUUCCCGGUGUAGUGGUGAAAUGCGUAGAUAUCGGGAGGAACAUCAGUGGCGAAAGCGGUCUCCUAGGCUAUUUCUGACGCUGAGGCCCUAAAGCGUGGGGAGCAAACAGGAUUAGAUACCCGCGUAGUCC